UGUAAAAUAAGCUAAAGUAAGCUAUUGGGUUCAUGCCCCGAAAAUGAAUAAGUUAUUCUUUUACAA
rnacentral:tRNA from 1 species